rnacentral:rRNA from 1 species
CCAGACUCCUACGGGAGGCAGCAGUCGGGAAUAUUGCGCAAUGGAGGAAACUCUGACGCAGUGACGCCGCGUAUAGGAAGAAGGUUUUCGGAUUGUAAACUAUUGUCGUUAGGGAAGAAAAAAGACAGUACCUAAGGAGGAAGCUCCGGCUAACUCCGUGCCAGCAGCCGCGGUAAUACGGAGGAUGCGAGCGUUAUCCGGAUUUAUUGGGUUUAAAGGGUGCGUAGGCGGAUUUUUAAGUCAGCGGUAAAAUGUCCGGGCUCAACCCGGGCCGGCCGUUGAAACUGGGGAUCUUGAGUGGGCGAGAAGUAUGCGGAAUGCGUGGUGUAGCGGUGAAAUGCAUAGAUAUCACGCAGAACUCCGAUUGCGAAGGCAGCAUACCGGCGCCCGACUGACGCUGAGGCACGAAAGCGUGGGGAUCGAACAGGAUUAGAUACCCCUGUAGUC